ensembl:lncRNA
AUGCUUGUCGCCUGACACUGACAUCUGAGCACUGAAGACGUCCUGCAUCAUCCUCUGCUUUGUUUGAGACGGUGCUAUCGAUGCUACAGGCUCUGCAGACUCCAGGACCAAGAAGCUACAAAGCUUCAGAGUCUUCAGAAUCGUUCAUGUGCUUGUUUUUUUUCUGUUCCAGUUUUCAAAGACUUUGUUAAUCAGAUUUAGAGAGAGCAACACUUCUCAUAGUCACAUAGCUGCAUUUCAGGAUUUUCAGAGUGUUCCCACUGGGUGAAACUGAUUUUUGGGGUAAUCUGAAUAGCACGAACCUGUUUGUUAAUCAUUCAUUUUGUACAUGUACUGACCAAGUGUGCAAUCAGUCAAAACAGGACAGCAAACAUUGUAAGGAGAUGCCAAAAGCAUCUUGAGAAUACAAAUAUCUCUUAGGUCCCAUUCCAGUGCUCAUCGUUUCGAAAUCUCAAAAUCUUCUGCAGCGCAUCCAAGUCUUUAAUCACAGCUCUGAUUAUCAGAGCAGCCUGAGAUGAAGCAUUUCCUCCUUUUUUUGAUCUCCAGACAAUUUUCUUGUUGAGGCUGAUUUUCCAUCAGUAGCUUGAUUAUCAAACAGCUUUUUGCUGCUAUAGUGAUGAAGUAUAAGACAAAUUCAGGAUCAAAAAUAGAUCUGAAAAUAUAGAACUUCCUUGUAACACACUUGCAGUGCCUUCAAGACCCACCAGGGGGCUGCAGCUCACACAGUGGGAGUUGCUGAUCUAUGUAAAUGGGCCUAUGUUUACCUGUGUAAAUUGGACUAAUGGUUUAAGAGUAAUGAUUUGUCUUUUUCACCAACAUCUGAGGACUGACUGUUAUGCAGUGUAACACUGGAGGCCAUUUCACUACAGGCAGCAUCUGCCAAUCACUGGUGAAUGUCCUGUAGCCCCUCCCAUAGAGGAAAGGUGUGUGUGUGAAGUAGGUUUCAGAUCAGGCAGCAGCACUGCAUCAGUAGAAGUAGGGCACUGCUGAUUAAAGUGGACUGUGCUGUAUAUUAAAGAUGUUUUGAACGUGGGGCACCUGAGUUGCGUUUGGGACACAGUGAUAGUUUUGUGUUCACAUUAAUAAACACAUUGAAAG